ensembl:ncRNA F49E10.23 ncRNA
GCGCGGUCCUACUCAAUAAUGGGGCGGUGCUGGAAGGAGUCGUCGACAAAUACAAGUCUGAUGGGGCUCAUGAAAACAGGGAUAAGCCAGAGCGGAACAAAAAAUAUUGAAUGAGAAUGGGGCGGAAGGCGAAUGGAGGA